AUCAAUUUAGAUUUCGAGCACCAAUUUCGUUACUUAUAUAAGCCAUCUCUUCUUAUAUUUGAUUUGCUGAUAUUGUAGAUAUAUAGAUGAAAGAACACACACAUCUAGGUGUUGUAAGCUGGAGUUUUGUUGAUUUGAUCUAACUAACAGAAAAAAGGGGAUCCUAUCGGAGCAGCCAUGGUACUGCAAAAUUGGUAAGGAUCGUUGCUAUUACUGCUACUUCGGGAGGAGUCAUAUGUUCUCAGUUUAUUUAGUAGUGCAAAAAUUGAUAAGUUACUUGAGCUAUUAUUAUAUUGUCGCAAUUGGAUUACGUUUAUCGUUUUGUUCCAUUUGAAUUUCAUAUUUGCCCUUGACCAGGAACUAUCGAGGCAUUAUUUUGUUAGUAGAACUACUAAUAAAGAACCAUUUUACUUAAUAGAAAAUAUUUUGUUGCCAUUGGAACUUGACCGAGUUGGAAACCAGUUUUAACAAAUUAGUAAUAUGCUUUCUAUCUUACUGCGGUGAGUUGUUAUAUCGUUGGACAUUAACAAUUUUGAAAUUUAGAUUUUAAAGACGGUGAAACUGACGAACACACGCUUCUGCUCAAGUAUAAGUAUCUGUUAGUUCUCUGUCAUUGUUGUUUUAGAACUUUUUCUACUUUAUGUGUGAUAUUUUAAAACUGAUUCAGCCUAUACUUCAAAAUUUUAUGUACUUUGGUCUCAAUAUUGCAUCUUACAAAUUUCUACUGUAGUUUAGAGCAAUGCUUGUAGAAUUUAUAGAUUUUUUUCUACAAUAUAGUCAUUCAUGUAAAUAAAUAAUUUGGAAUGUGGUGAUUUCUCCUGCAGUAUCAUCAUUCAUGUAAAUGCUUUGUACUUCUUGCUUUGGUGAUUCCUCCCUGUUCCUUCAAAAAGAGAACAAAAAGCGGAAUGACAUGAGAGAUUUUGAAAGUCUCUUUAUAUGGCAAAAUUCUAAGCUCUACUACAGCUUGGAUGGAUACCUCCAUUCGAGAAUAGAUCAUAGUGUAAGUAUGUUACUUUCAAGUCCAUUUUUUACCGUUAAUACAAAAUUUCUUGCCUGCAAUAGAAACCACUGUGAGGAUAUCUAUACGUAGUUUCAAAUCCGUGUCACAGAUAAAUUUAACAUUGCUUGUAAUUCGAUCCGUGAGAUAUUGGGUUGUUGCUAACCUACCCAAAUCCAAGUUAUUGUGUACAUUAUAGACAAAUAAAAGGUAACUGAUUAUUCCACUAUUCAAUAAUCUAUAUCCAAGUUAUUAGGAUUUGUUGCUAACCUACCCAAAUCCUAAUAAUCUAUAUCCUCCUGAAAGAAAAGAGUAAGAAAUAAAGACACAAGAAAAUGCAUAUAGCUAAAUUCUUUAUAUCUUGCCAAGAUAUUAGUUUAUGGUGUCUUAAAACUCAGUAUCUAAACAAUAUCAUACAAAGCAAAAUACAAAUAAAUAGGUACAAAUGCACAUACACAGUAAACAACAGAACAUCAACAAAGAGUAGAAAAUUAAUCUCAUAAACUGGAAAUGAAAGACAAAAGACAAUACCAUGUUAUUGACCUAAAAAGUAUUACUUGUAAUUGGCUUAGAGCUUUUAGGCAAUGUUGCUUCAAUACUUGACAUGCAUAUCAAAUGAUCUUUGAAAUUAUGCAACAUAUCUCCAUUUGGUGGACAUCCAAGUUGACAAAGUGAAUAUGAAUCUACACUUCAAAAAGUUAUUUCUCACUCUUUGAUGAACAUAGGAAAAUUAGUACACCACAAAAUGCCAUAAAUUCAUAAAUCUGUGUCAAAUUGCAAUAGAAAAAGCAACCUAAUAGAUGAUUACAACAACCUGAGAUAUUGUUAAACUCAAAUAUCUUCCAAAAUGUACUAGACUAUACUAGAGCUUCUGGAAUAUGCUUCUUUUAAGUUUUUUCCUUAACAUGUAAGAUACUUCAUUUGCAAUCUAAACAUUAGUAGAACAUGUUAACCAAAUAGAGAAUCCUCACAGUCAUAGGUCUCCUUAGCAAAUAAUCCUAAUGUCUCAUUUUGGCCUUUAGUUUUGUUAUACCUGAUGAAAUAUUUACUGAAAUAUACAGGUCGGGUUCUUUGUUCUCUCUUAUUUAUGAUUGUCGAGUCAUCAUUAUGCAUUGUUUUAUUAACUUGCUCUAUCUUAGGAUAAUUUUCAGUUAUUACUUCAGGCUUCUUUAUUAUGUUUAUGAAUCUUUCUUUGUUUUUGUGUUUGUUCUUGAUAAAUUAAGUUUAUUGGGAUUUCUGGAGAGAAUUACACUCUUAUUAUGCUCAUGAUAGCUCUUUUGUUAUUAUGUUCCUUAAUUGUCUUGCUGGAAGUUUGCCACGAUAACAAUCCUUUGAGUUUUAUACCCUGACCGCCUGAUGCCAUCUCAAUUAUUUUUGAAAGAGAAUUAACCUAUAUUAAGAAGUCUAGAACAUGUGGUUUGAAUCAAAGGCACAUAAGAAAAGUCACAUUACCAAUACAAGAGUUAUCUUAUUAGUUGAGUUAUUGAUACCUUUAUUUAUUAAGAAUAUAGAUAUUUUUGAUGAAUGGAAAGCUUUUAGAAGAAAAGCAACUCUUCAGUCAAGAUUAUUACCAAAAGAACAAGGAGGAGUGCAUCCACAAAUUCAUGAUACAAGAUCGUUGUGGAAGUUCACAACUUUGCUGUUCUGUAUGUCUGUAAUGACAUGGAUGAACAUGAUUAUCCCUUUGUGUGCGAGUCUCUGCAACUCACAAGAAAAUUAUGAUCAAUCCUUGAUCUAUAUGCAAGAACUACUUUAGUCAAUUUUGUUAAUUAAACCUUUCACGAAAGAUAAUUCAAUUUCUUACUUGCUGAUUUUUCCUUCUGGUUCAUUUGGAUUUUUAAGUGUCGAAUGAAAACAUAUCUCUAUUUGAUAGAGGCAAUCAAGAUGUGGGACUAUACUGGAUAUGUUAUUGUUGACAGAGGUGAUCAAGUUGAAAAGUGAACAUAUUGGUAGAGCUUUUUUCUAAAAAUAAUAGAUGUAAGUUUUCCCCCAACAAUUUCAUAACUAUUAUUUUUGUUUGUUCCUUUGCUGUUAGAUUUGUGUGCUGUUUAUCGAAUUACAUAAACUUGAUUGUACUUAUUUUUUUGGAUCAGGUGUUUGUACUUUGUUCAUUAGAAAUUGCAGGUAUCAAUCUCAAGUGUGGUUGCACUUCUAUCCACAUGUAAGUGUUGUCUCAUUUGUUAUCUAGAAAUUUGACUUGCAUAGACAAAUUAUUGGUAUUACCACUUUAUAAUUGAUUCGAUUGUUGCUUAUGAUGUUAAUAUUUACAUGUAUUGCUAUAUUCAUUAAAAUUUAUGUCUGGAAAUAGUGGCAGACAAAGCAUAAGCUUGAUGGGUUCAAUUGUGUCGAUUAUCUUCGACCCGAUACAUGACCCAUAUGUGAUUUAAAGAGAGUAAUGUUUUCCGUUGUAAGAACCUAAAGGAUGAAUCUAUGAAAUUUAAACAUUGAAUCCUCUUCUUGUGAAGGCAAUCUUAACCAAUACUUUUCAGUGUGUAGUAGAGAUUACUCCUUACUAGGUGGUUACCAUUUGAGAAUUUUGGUUGGCCUUUUCCUGAAAUUUUAGUGUCAUAUAUAUGAGAUAUGCUAGAGUGAACCUUCAAAACUUCAUAAUUGAAAUUCAUUGUUUUUCCAAGUGUGAUUCCAUCUAUUCUACAAGUUAGCAGACAAUUACAAAAUGAAAAAGAAGAGGGUUAUCAUCAAAGUAAUUCAUAAUUUUUCUGUUUAUCUUAGAACUGCUGAAAAUUUGAGUAAACAUUCAACUGUUAGUACUAUACCCUCCUUUGGAUUGUUAAUAUAGUAGUUCCGACUACUGAGCUUGAAUUGGGUUGCCUCUCUAAUCGAGAUCGUAGUCCUCAAGCACCACUAAGAGAGGCAACCCAAUACAAGCUCUAUCUAAGAUCCUUAUGAUCGGAUGAAUAAUUUUAUCAGUCAUUGUUUAAGUUAUUUUGUUCCAAUGAAGAUAUUCUUAUAAGUAAACUUUUA
rnacentral:lncRNA from 1 species